AGUGCCCCAAACCCCCCCCCCCCCCCGAAAAAUAUUCCUGGCUACGACCAUGAUACAUAAUAUAAACGUGUUGUUGUAAAAUAGUAUUUUCUUUUAUUUUCUUGUUUCUUUACUAAGAUUCUAAACUAUUUAUUGUUUGACUUUGCUAAAGUUUGAAAAAAAAAUCUGACUUCUUGUAUCUACUCAACUGUGAGCACUAGAAGUUUUUCUAAUGAUGUUAUUUUAAGUAGUGCUUGAAUGGUAUUUCACAGUUUUUAAUAAACCUUUUAUGAAACAAGAUUCAAAACUCUUUUAUUAAAUGACUUGAGUGUUCAUUUUUAAUAAACACAAAUGAAAAAAAACAAAUAA